GAUGAACGCUGGCGGCGUGCCUAACACAUGCAAGCCGAACGAACAGACGAGGAGCUGCCUCCUUUGACUUUACCGGCGGACGGGUGAGUAACACGUGGAUAACCUACCUAUAAGACUGGGAUAACCUCGGGAAACGAGAGCUACUACCAGCUAACAUGUUGAACCGCUUGCUUCAUCAGAGAAAGACGGUCUUGUUGUCACUCAUCGACGGAACCGCGUCGCAUUAGCUAGUAUGUAAGGGAACGGCUUACCAAGGCAGCGAGGGGUAGCCGACCUGAGAGGGAGAUCGGGCACACUGGAACUGAGACACGGUCCAGACUCCGAAGGGAGGACGCAGUAGGAAAUCUUCCGGAAUGGGCGAGAGCGUAACGGAGCAACGCCGCGUGAGUGAAGAAGGUCUUCGGAUGGUAGAACUCUGUUAUUAGGGAAGAACAAAUGUGUAAGUAAAUAUGCACGUCUUGACGGUACCUAAUCAGAAAGCCACGGCUAACUACGUG
rnacentral:rRNA from 1 species